CCCUUUUUUUUUUUUUUUUUUUUUUUUUUACCGAUUUGCUUUAGUCUAUGACUUUGUGAAAUAAAAGAAGGUGACUUCAGAGGGUUUUUGAGAGGGAGGUAACAAAAGGAUAGAGACAAAAUUAUUUGAGUCUUUAUAUGUUUAGUCUUUCACUAAAAUCACAUCGAUCUCUCUGACAUAAUUAUGCACCAGGCACUGUUACAGGUGCUUGGCCUACCAGAGAGAACAAAAUCAAAGCCUGUGAGUUGUUUAUUGUUUAUGUUGCUGUGGUAGAAUCAAACCCCAGGCUUUGUGUGUACUAAGCAGGCUUUCUAUCACUAAGUGAUUAAACUGUCAUAUUAAGGUUAUAAUUGCAGUGGUGAAACACCAUGACUAAAGCUACUAGGGGAGGAAAAGGUUUAUUUGACUUACACUUCCCCGUCACUGCCCAUCACUGCAUGAAAUCAAGACUGGAGCUGAUGCAGAAGCCAUGGAGUCUGCAGCUUACUGGCUUGCUCCUCAUGGCUUGCUCAGUCUGUUUUCUUAUAGAACCCAGGACCACCAGCCCAGGAAUGGCACCACCCACAAUGGGCUGGGCCCUGCCCCAUUGGUCACUAAAAAAACGCCUUACAAGCUUCCCUAGAAACCCAAUCUUAUAGAGGCAUUUUCUCAAUGGAGGUUCCCUCCUCUCAGAUAAUUAUAAUUUGUGUGAAAUUGACAUAAAACUAACCAGCAUAGUCCUUUAUAAUUUUUCGAUGAUACUUUUUGUCAAAUUCAUUUCUUAGUUGGAAAAAAAAAACCUAGAAAUGCUGUCUACUAUAUGGCAGGAAGCAUUUUAAAUGCUUAAAAAAAAAGCUUCAAGUCAGUUAAAACUGGAGUUAGAUGACUCUAACUUGAUGCCUGACAUAAAAUGGGGGGUCACUGGUGUGUCAAUAGCAGUAAAGAGUCACCCCUGCCAAUACCACGAUUACCACCUUCACUACUACAUUAUCCUUCUUGAGGCUUUCUCAAACUCCUCAGAACAUCCCGAAACAGAAGGAGCAGAAAGUUGAACAAAGCCCUAUAUAUUCUGAAAGGCAAAGCUGUUUUUUUUUCUAGCUGAUGUGGCUGUCUGUUUCCUUUUGAGGUGAGCUCUCACUAGCCCAGGUUGGCCUUGAAUUUAC
rnacentral:lncRNA from 1 species